GUUUGAUGGCGACCGGCGCGACGGGUGAGUAACACGUAUCCAACCUGCCGAUGACUCGGGGAUAGCCUUUCGAAAGAAAGAUUAAUACCCGAUGGCAUAGUUCUUCCGCAUGGUGGAACUAUUAAAGAAUUUCGGUCAUCGAUGGGGAUGCGUUCCAUUAGGUUGUUGGCGGGGUAACGGCCCACCAAGCCUUCGAUGGAUAGGGGUUCUGAGAGGAAGGUCCCCCACAUUGGAACUGAGACACGGUCCAAACUCCUACGGGAGGCAGCAAUG
rnacentral:rRNA from 1 species